rnacentral:rRNA from 1 species
CGGGUGAGUAAUGCAUAGGAAUCUACCCAGUAGUGGGGGACAACUCGGGGAAACUCGAGCUAAUACCGCAUACGACCUACGGGUGAAAGUGGGGGAUCUUCGGACCUCACGCUAUUGGAUGAGCCUAUGUCAGAUUAGCUAGUUGGUGGGGUAAUGGCCUACCAAGGCGACGAUCUGUAGCUGGUUUGAGAGGAUGAUCAGCCACACUGGGACUGAGACACGGCCCAG